CUGGGGAAGGCGGGCGGCGGCGGCGGCAGCAGCAGCGGCCGCGGCCCAUGAGGCGAAGGAGCCCGAGCGGGCAGGGCGGCGGCGGUGGUGGGGGCAAAAAUCUGAUCACCCAACAGCCACCGGAAGAUGUAUUUCAUUCUGUUCGUUUGGGAGGAACAUACCACCACCAAAUUCUGGAGAUGUGCAUGUUGCAGGCACGAAGUGAAAAGUGUACUUGUCCAUUAGAAAUUCUGGCAGCCAUGAUGGAAAAUGUACCCAUUGAACACUAGAGGUAGCUACAGACCAGGGUAUAAUGUAGAAUUAGACUCACUGACUUCCAGUUAUAAAAUUCUGCAGCGAUGUUAUAAAGUUUCAGUUUGGUCUGACUACCUGAAGAAACCUCACACAGCAUUGUCCACACUUUUAGAAGUAUGUCAUGUGUUUUAUUUACAUGGCAUAGUCUUCCCUUGGAGGGGAGACAGAUCCCCACUCUCUUGGCCUUCUGAAAAGGAGGUAAGAUGGCUCUGCAGCAUCAAGUGGGAAGCCCUGGGAAACACACAGACAUAGGGCUGGUUAGUCCCCUGAAAGCCCUCCCUUUACAUUUUAACUAAUUUUAAUCUCUUGGCUCCUCUGAUUUUUUUUAAAAAAACUUCUGUAUAUGCUGCUUUAUAUUUUAUUGUACAUUGCCCAGAGAUGGAUGGUACUAUUUAAUUCAGAAAUGUGUACGGCCACUCCUCUUAAGCAAAUAAUCUGGGUAAUGCUGUAAAAACUGCAUGAAUACAAUCAAUACCAAAUAAACACACCAGACUUGAGGGCACUUCAUAUUGUGUAUAAUCUUCAGUCACAAAUUUACUAGUGCUGGCCUCCACUAAGAACACCCCUUCCCCCAAUGUCCAUGGGAAAGACAAUAUAUUAAUAUGAGGUCCCCCUAACCAACUUGGUCCGAUUGAAGAAGCUAUUCAGAUAAGCAACCAAACGAUUCAAACCAAAAAGAAGUCUAAUUGCCAUGACUUAAUUUCCAGACUAUGGGCAAAGCUGUUGGGGUUAUCUGGAUCUGGGGGAGAAGGGAAGAGAGGGGGAGGCUGAAUUACAAAUUUAAAAAAAAAGUUUUUAAAUUGAACAGCAUUAGCAUAAAAAACGCAUUGUAAAGGUCUCCCAUAAUGCAAAACAAAGAAAUUAGAAUAAUUA